rnacentral:ncRNA from 1 species
UCUUCAGGCAGGGUGCAAUUCCCUACCGGCGGUACAGCCCGCGAGCGGAUGCCAUUCGGCGGAAGCAUGAUUCGGUGAAAUUCCGAAGCCGACAGUAUAGUCUGGAUGAAAGAAGAA